GAUGAACGCUGGCGGCGUGCCUAAUACAUGCAAGUCGAGCGAACAGACGAGGAGCUUGCUCCUCUGACGUUAGCGGCGGACGGGCGAGUAACACGUGGAUAACCUACCUAUAAGACUGGGAUAACUUCGGGAAACCGGAGCUAAUACCGGAUAAUAUAUUGAACCGCAUGGUUCAAUAGUGAAAGACGGUUUUGCUGUCACUUAUAGAUGGAUCCGCGCCGCAUUAGCUAGUUGGUAAGGUAACGGCUUACCAAGGCAACGAUGCGUAGCCGACCUGAGAGGGUGAUCGGCCACACUGGAACUGAGACACGGUCCAGACUCCUACGGGAGGCAGCAGUAGGGAAUCUUCCGCAAUGGGCGAAAGCCUGACGGAGCAACGCCGCGUGAGUGAUGAAGGUCUUCGGAUCGUAAAACUCUGUUAUUAGGGAAGAACAAAUGUGUAAGUAACGAUGCACGUCUUGACGGUACCUAAUCAGAAAGCCACGGCUAACUACGU
rnacentral:rRNA from 1 species